rnacentral:misc_RNA from 1 species
UUUCCGUAGGUGAACCUGCGGAAGGAUCAUUAUCGAAUUUCGAGGGGAAGGAAGAUGAGGAGUGGAGACUGUCACUGGCUUUCCCGCCUGGGAAGCAUGUGCACGCCUUGCUUUUCGUUGACCUCUCUCUUACUCUCACACCUGUGCACCCAUUGUAGGUCCUCGAAAGAGGAUCUAUGUUUUUAUCAUCACACGCAUCGUAUGUCCAUAGAAUGUAACAUGAUCGUCGAUCGACCUCGCGGUCGGGUGGCGGUCUAAAUAAAUAAAUACAACUUUCAGCAACGGAUCUCUUGGCUCUC